CAGCUUCUUGGACAGCACUAAGUCGUCCUCCUCGCGUUGCGUGAGGUUGACGUCGUUGGUCUCGAUGGGAGCUGG
rnacentral:tRNA from 1 species